rnacentral:rRNA from 1 species
AGAGUUUGAUCCUGGCUCAGGAUGAACGCUAGCGGCAGGCUUAACACAUGCAAGUCGAGGGGUAGAGGUUGCUUGUAACCUUGAGACCGGCGCACGGGUGCGUAAUGCGUAUGCAACCUACCUUUUACAGAGGGAUAGCCCAGAGAAAUUUGGAUUAAUACCUCAUAGUAUAUAUCUUUCGCAUGUUAGGUAUAUUAAAGUUCCAACGGUAAAAGAUGGGCAUGCGUCCUAUUAGCUAGAUGGUAAGGUAACGGCUUACCAUGGCUACGAUAGGUAGGGGUCCUGAGAGGGAGAUCCCCCACACUGGUACUGAGACACGGACCAGACUCCUACGGGAGGCUGCAGUGAGGAAUAUUGGACAAUGGGCGCAAGCCUGAUCCAGCCAUGCCGCGUGCAGGAAGAAGCAUCUAUGGUGUGUAAACUGCUUUUGUACAGGAAGAAACAUCCCGACGUGUCGGGACUUGACGGUACUGUAAGAAUAAGGAUCGGCUAACUCCGUGCCAGCAGCCGCGGUAAUACGGAGGAUCCAAGCGUUAUCCGGAAUCAUUGGGUUUAAAGGGUCCGUAGGCGGUUUGGUAAGUCAGUGGUGAAAGCCCGCAGCUCAACUGUGGAACGGCCAUUGAUACUGCCAGACUUGAAUUACAAGGAAGUAACUAGAAUAUGUAGUGUAGCGGUGAAAUGCUUAGAUAUUACAUGGAAUACCAAUUGCGAAGGCAGGUUACUACUUGUGGAUUGACGCUGAUGGACGAAAGCGUGGGGAGCGAACAGGAUUAGAUACCCUGGUAGUCCAA